ACACACAAAGAAGCUGCGCCUCUCUCUCCCUCGGACGUCUGCCCGGCGCCGCCGUCGCCGCCGGCGAGCGGCGCGGCCUCUCCCUCUCACCCCCUCGGUCUCCUCUUCUCUCCCUCUCGUUUCUCUGUUCUCCUUUCACCUCUAUCUCUCUCGCUCACUCUACCACCGGAAACAGGGCAAGAGAUGCCGCCGCCUCUUCUUCACCUCCACGGCGGAACGGCCGCCCCCUGUUCUCCCUCUCUCUCUAUCUCUAACUCUCAACAUCAUCUCGGUCUCUCUCUCUAACUCUCACUGACACACACGCCGGCAGACACGGCGAAAGCCGCGCCGCCGCGUCGUCCUCCCCUUCGCCGGUGGACAGACGGCCAGGAGCCGUAGAGGAAUCGCCGUCGCCGGAGACAUCCCAGAACGGAACCACGGCAGGUUCACCGCCGCCGCUCCGUCGCCGGCGACGAGCCACCACGGCUGCCGCCUCCCUCUGAUCUCGACUCACACACACACAGCAGGGUCAAGCUCUUAUUCAGUUUAAAAAAAAGACAUAGAGAAAUUAGCACAAAUUCAAUUACUAAACUGUAUACUCUUUGUAUUUUCUUUAAAAGUCUGUAAUUUAAGCAAAUCAUUGUAUCCUUGCAUGUAUAUUUGUAAUAGGUUUCAAAGAAAAAGUAUACACGCAUAUAAGAAUUACUAAGCAA